rnacentral:rRNA from 1 species
AGCAGCCGCGGUAAUUCCAGCUCCAAUAGCGUAUAUUAAAGUUGUUGCAGUUAAAAAGCUCGUAGUUGAAUUUCGGGAUCAGUACGCUGGUCGUGCCUCCGGUAUGUACUGGUGUCACUGAUUCCUCCCUUCUGAAGAACCAUCAUGCCAUUCACUUGGUGUGGUGGGGAAUCAGGACUGUUACUUUGAAAAAUUAGAGUGUUUAAAGCAGGCUCGCGCUUGAAUACAUUAGCAUGGAAUAAUGAAAUAGGACGUUUAUCCUAUUUUGUUGGUUUCUAGGAUUGACGUAAUGAUUAAUAGGGAUAGUUGGGGGCAUUAGUAUUCAAUUGUCAGAGGUGAAAUUCUUGGAUUUAUUGAAGACUAACUACUGCGAAAGCAUUUGCCAAGGAUGUUUUCAUUAAUCAAGAACGAAAGUUAGGGGAUCGAAGACGAUCAGAUACCGUCGUAGUCUUAACCAUAAACUAUGCCGACUAGGGAUCGGAUGAUGUUAAUUUUAAUGACUCAUUC